rnacentral:lncRNA from 1 species
GAUCUUCAAUGAGAGUAACUGGUUUUCACCGGAUUCAGUUUUUGUAAAUUAUCUAUCAAUCGAAAUUUAUUUUUAAUGAUUUUUCAGUCAGUAUGGAAAGUGGCUUGUAGCUAAUAGGAGCUCCUAUUCACAGUUUAGCUACUAUUAGUUCUAGAAAUUUUUCACAGGAUAAUAAUCUAUAUAAAGUGUUUGGUGUUUAGCUUUGAGUGAUCAGUAGUCAGGAAUCAUUAUUGGCAAUCAAAUAAUUUGAAUAUUCUCAAUGAAUUAACUAAUCCUAGAACCUGAACUUUCAAAUUAUAAAGAUUCAUCGUCAAAGGUUGAUUGAUGUACUGAACACGUGAGAGUGCAAAUGCUACCAAGAAUUUGUGAAUUCAAAAAGCCUCAAGUUAAAAAGCUAGUGAAAGUCAGGUUAUGUCCGUUGGUGCAAUUUGCAGAUAUGGAACGUUGUCUUCCUUGCAAGGACAACGCCCAGGUGUAAACAAACAGAAAAGAAACAAAGCUUCAGGUAGAAGGACACCAUUGUCCUUUUUAGAAAAUGAGUUCUCUAUAAGUUUUAUUUUAAAAAUAAAAGUUAACAUGUUGUUUAGUAAUUAAAAAUUGCAGCUUUCAGUUUAAAUUUGAUAAGAUUUUCUUUUCACAAAUCGUACUUACCCCAACUUUCCCCGGUGCGACCAAAGACAGCUCCAGUCUCAGAAUUGUAAAGAAACCUCUUGAAUUUUGUCAUCGCCGGCUCUGGGGGUGGCUUCAAGAAGGGCUGAUAGUUUUGCUGCAUUGCUUCUUGUUGUUUGGCUGAAUUCGUCAUUGCGACAAAACUAUUUUGUUUCCUUUAUCCGGAGAAACCACUCAACUCUGAGGAAGUAACCAAC